GACGAACGCUGGCGGCGUGCUUAACACAUGCAAGUCGAGCGGUAAGGCCCUUUCGGGGUACGACGAGCGGCGAACGGGUGAGUAACACGUGGGUGACCUGCUCUCAGCUCUGGGAUAAGCCUGGGAAACCGGGUCUAAUACUGGAUAUGACUCCAUGACGCAUGUUGUGGGGUGGAAAGCCUUGUGCGGCUGAGGAUGGGCCCGCGGCCUAUCAGCUUGUUGGUGGGGUGAUGGCCUACCAAGGCGACGACGGGUAGCCGGCCUGAGAGGGCGACCGGCCACACUGGGACGUGAGACACGGCCCAGACUCCUACGGGAGGCAGCAGUGGGGAAUCUUGCGCAAUGGGCGAAAGCCUGACGCAGCGACGCCGCGUGAGGGAUGACGGCCUC
rnacentral:rRNA from 1 species